rnacentral:rRNA from 2 species
GACGUGCUAAUCUGCGAUAAGCGUCGGUAAGGUGAUAUGAACCGUUAUAACCGGCGAUUUCCGAAUGGGGAAACCCAGUGUGAUUCGUCACACUAUCAUUAACUGAAUCCAUAGGUUAAUGAGGCGAACCGGGGGAACUGAAACAUCUAAGUACCCCGAGGAAAAGAAAUCAACCGAGAUUCCCCCAGUAGCGGCGAGCGAACGGGGAGCAGCCCAGAGCCUGAAUCAGUGUGUGUGUUAGUGGAAGCGUCUGGAAAGGCGUGCGAUACAGGGUGACAGCCCCGUACACAAAAAUGCACAUACUGUGAGCUCGAUGAGUAGGGCGGGACACGUGGUAUCCUGUCUGAAUAUGGGGGGACCAUCCUCCAAGGCUAAAUACUCCUGACUGACCGAUAGUGAACCAGUACCGUGAGGGAAAGGCGAAAAGAACCCCGGCGAGGGGAGUGAAAAAGAACCUGAAACCGUGUACGUACAAGCAGUGGGAGCACGCUUAGGCGUGUGACUGCGUACCUUUUGUAUAAUGGGUCAGCGACUUAUAUUCUGUAGCAAGGUUAACCGAAUAGGGGAGCCGAAGGGAAACCGAGUCUUAACUGGGCGUUAAGUUGCAGGGUAUAGACCCGAAACCCGGUGAUCUAGCCAUGGGCAGGUUGAAGGUUGGGUAACACUAACUGGAGGACCGAACCGACUAAUGUUGAAAAAUUAGCGGAUGACUUGUGGCUGGGGGUGAAAGGCCAAUCAAACCGGGAGAUAGCUGGUUCUCCCCGAAAGCUAUUUAGGUAGCGCCUCGUGAAUUCAUCUCCGGGGGUAGAGCACUGUUUCGGCAAGGGGGUCAUCCCGACUUACCAACCCGAUGCAAACUGCGAAUACCGGAGAAUGUUAUUACGGGAGACACACGGCGGGUGCUAACGUCCGUCGUGAAGAGGGAAACAACCCAGACCGCCAGCUAAGGUCCCAAAGUCAUGGUUAAGUGGGAAACGAUGUGGGAAGGCCCAGACAGCCAGGAUGUUGGCUUAGAAGCAGCCAUCAUUUAAAGAAAGCGUAAUAGCUCACUGGUCGAGUCGGCCUGCGCGGAAGAUGUAACGGGGCUAAACCAUGCACCGAAGCUGCGGCAGCGACGCUUAUGCGUUGUUGGGUAGGGGAGCGUUCUGUAAGCCUGUGAAGGUGUGCUGUGAGGUAUGCUGGAGGUAUCAGAAGUGCGAAUGCUGACAUAAGUAACGAUAAAGCGGGUGAAAAGCCCGCUCGCCGGAAGACCAAGGGUUCCUGUCCAACGUUAAUCGGGGCAGGGUGAGUCGACCCCUAAGGCGAGGCCGAAAGGCGUAGUCGAUGGGAAACAGGUUAAUAUUCCUGUACUUGGUGUUACUGCGAAGGGGGGACGGAGAAGGCUAUGUUGGCCGGGCGACGGUUGUCCCGGUUUAAGCGUGUAGGCUGGUUUUCCAGGCAAAUCCGGAAAAUCAAGGCCGAGGCGUGAUGACGAGGCACUACGGUGCUGAAGCAACAAAUGCCCUGCUUCCAGGAAAAGCCUCUAAGCAUCAGGUAACAUCAAAUCGUACCCCAAACCGACACAGGUGGUCAGGUAGAGAAUACCAAGGCGCUUGAGAGAACUCGGGUGAAGGAACUAGGCAAAAUGGUGCCGUAACUUCGGGAGAAGGCACGCUGAUACGUAGGUGAAGCGACUUGCUCGUGGAGCUGAAAUCAGUCGAAGAUACCAGCUGGCUGCAACUGUUUAUUAAAAACACAGCACUGUGCAAACACGAAAGUGGACGUAUACGGUGUGACGCCUGCCCGGUGCCGGAAGGUUAAUUGAUGGGGUUAGCGCAAGCGAAGCUCUUGAUCGAAGCCCCGGUAAACGGCGGCCGUAACUAUAACGGUCCUAAGGUAGCGAAAUUCCUUGUCGGGUAAGUUCCGACCUGCACGAAUGGCGUAAUGAUGGCCAGGCUGUCUCCACCCGAGACUCAGUGAAAUUGAACUCGCUGUGAAGAUGCAGUGUACCCGCGGCAAGACGGAAAGACCCCGUGAACCUUUACUAUAGCUUGACACUGAACAUUGAGCCUUGAUGUGUAGGAUAGGUGGGAGGCUUUGAAGUGUGGACGCCAGUCUGCAUGGAGCCGACCUUGAAAUACCACCCUUUAAUGUUUGAUGUUCUAACGUGGACCCGUGAUCCGGGUUGCGGACAGUGUCUGGUGGGUAGUUUGACUGGGGCGGUCUCCUCCUAAAGAGUAACGGAGGAGCACGAAGGUUGGCUAAUCCUGGUCGGACAUCAGGAGGUUAGUGCAAUGGCAUAAGCCAGCUUGACUGCGAGCGUGACGGCGCGAGCAGGUGCGAAAGCAGGUCAUAGUGAUCCGGUGGUUCUGAAUGGAAGGGCCAUCGCUCAACGGAUAAAAGGUACUCCGGGGAUAACAGGCUGAUACCGCCCAAGAGUUCAUAUCGACGGCGGUGUUUGGCACCUCGAUGUCGGCUCAUCACAUCCUGGGGCUGAAGUAGGUCCCAAGGGUAUGGCUGUUCGCCAUUUAAAGUGGUACGCGAGCUGGGUUUAGAACGUCGUGAGACAGUUCGGUCCCUAUCUGCCGUGGGCGCUGGAGAACUGAGGGGGGCUGCUCCUAGUACGAGAGGACCGGAGUGGACGCAUCACUGGUGUUCGGGUUGUCAUGCCAAUGGCACUGCCCGGUAGCUAAAUGCGGAAGAGAUAAGUGCUGAAAGCAUCUAAGCACGAAACUUGCCCCGAGAUGAGUUCUCCCUGACCCUUUAAGGGUCCUGAAGGAACGUUGAAGACGACGACGUUGAUAGGCCGGGUGUGUAAGCGCAGCGAUGCGUUGAGCUAACCGGUACUAAUGAACCGUGAGGCUUAACCUU